rnacentral:tRNA from 1 species
GGGCCCAUAGCUCAAUUGGUUAGAGCUUCCGGCUCAUAACCGGGCGGUUCUAGGUUCGAUUCCUAGUGGGCCCACCA